rnacentral:rRNA from 1 species
UACAGAGGUCCCGAGCGUUGUUCGGAUUCACUGGGCGUAAAGGGUGCGUAGGUGGUGACGUAAGUCGGAUGUGAAAUCUCGGAGCUCAACUCCGAAACGGCAUUGGAAACUGCGUUGCUAGAGGGUUGGAGGGGGGACUGGAAUGCUUGGUGUAGCAGUGAAAUGCGUAGAUAUCAAGCGGAACACCAGUGGCGAAGGCGAGUCCCUGGACAACACCUGACACUGAGGCGCGAAAGCGUGGGGAGCGAACAGG